AUUGAACGCUGGCGGCAGGCCUAACACAUGCAAGUCGAACGAGUGGCGGACGGGUGAGUAAUGUCUGGGAAACUGCCUGAUGGAGGGGGAUAACUACUGGAAACGGUAGCUAAUACCGCAUACCAUCGGAUGUGCCCAGAUGGGAUUAGCUAGUGGGUGGGGUAAAGGCUCACCUAGGCGACGAUCCCUAGCUGGUCUGAGAGGAUGACCAGCCACGUUGGAACGUGGAACCGGUCCAAAUCCUUCCGGAGGGCAGAAGUGGGGAAUAUUGACCAUGGGGCGCAAGCUGGAUGCAGCCUGGCCGCGUUUAUGAAGAAGGCCUUCGGGUUGUAAAGUACUUUCGUCGGGGAGGCGUUACCCGCAGAAGAAGCACCGGCUAACUCCGUGCCAGCGGCCGCGGUAUAC
rnacentral:rRNA from 1 species